AUGGAGAAGGAGAGAGAAGAUACCCUUUACCAAAAGGAGUCACUGAGGCCUUAUGGAGAAGAAGGAGAGAGAAGAUACCUUUUACCAAAAGGAGUCGGACCAGCAGCUGUACACUUACAGUAUUGUUCGGAUUUUCUUAGAGGACCUAAGGCAGGUGGCAUCAAGCCAGCCCUCCCCCGCCUCCCUCUAGAGCCCCCUGGGAGCCGAGUGCGGGGCGCAGGCUUGAUGGCCCGGCCCGCAGAGGACAGGGCACCUCGCUGCCCAGAUGGCGCCGCCGCCUGCCUUCCUGCCAAGGACGGGACAAGCCGCAAAUUUCCCGCCGACCAUGUGUGAUCUCUGUGGUCUUCCUCCCAAGCUCUUCCUCCAGCCACCCUCGACUGCAAAGGCGGCUCUACUCCUGGCUCUCCAGCACCAAGCGGCUUCAAGAAAGAGAAAAUAAGGACACUAGGCCUCUGGGCCAUGGAGUGGCCCCAUCAGGAAGCUGACGGGGAGUAAAAUGCCACCUACACGGGGCCUCUGUGUGGCCUUGAGUGAGUGUGUCCCAACGAGCUUCGGAGUUUUCACCUGGGCCACAUAGGUGCUGUGGGACAGAGCGUCCCGGGUUUCUCCGGGUGCCAAGGAACCGAGGGCCCGGGCCUGCCUUUGAGAGCUGGUACAAAGCCGUCCUCCUCCUCCUCCAGGGCUGCGAGGUGGCAGGUCUUCCUCCCUCUCCUGGCAUCAGGGCACCAGGCAGCAGGGACAGCACUGGGGCCUGAGUGACAAGGAGACGAGCUGGAAAAGGCUGUUUGCAGGGAGGAGGAGCAGCCCAGAACCACCAACGCCCUGCGUGCAGGGCCCAACCCGCACAGGGUCCCAGGGGACCCGGACCCGGACAGGGCGGCCCUGCAGAGAUGCCGAGCAUUCCUUCCAAAGGGGGGCGAGCCCAGGAAUCUGUGUUUUCCUACCGAUGCUGACCUCAGGCUCCGUCAGCCUCUGAGUCUCCACAGCUGCAUCCCUGGGCUCUAUCAGCCACCAGUCUGCAAGCCACGGAUUGAAGCGCUUUUCAACCAGGAGAUAAGGACAUUGGUUUGGCGACACACAAUAGUCUAGUCUUGUCUUUUCAAGGAAGCUGUGAUUUUUCAAGACACCAGAUUUCUAACUGUACCAACCACUUAACAUCACACACACAUGAAGUGAUGGGCAGGAGUUACACACAUUGAUCUUCUGAACCUAUUUCCUUCCGUCUUUGCACCAUUGUUCCCUUUGUGCCCAACCUUCACGUCAUGAAGGCCACGCAGUCUCUCAAAUCCCGAGGCUACGUAAAGGAACAGUUACCCUGGAGACA
rnacentral:lncRNA from 1 species